AUUGAACGCUGGCGGAAUGCUUUACACAUGCAAGUCGAACGGUAGAGGGGGCAACCCCUCGAGAGUGGCGAACGGGUGAGUAAUAUAUCGGAACGUGCCCAGGCGUGGGGGAUAACGUAGCGAAAGUUACGCUAAUACCGCAUACGAUCUAAGGAUGAAAGCGGGGGAUCGCAAGACCUCGCGCGAUUGGAGCGGCCGAUAUCAGAUUAGGUAGUUGGUGGGGUAAAGGCUCACCAAGCCAACGAUCUGUAGCUGGUCUGAGAGGACGACCAGCCACACUGGAACGGAGACACGGUCCAGACUCCUACGGAAGGCAGCAGUGGGGAAUUUUGGACAAUGGACGCAUGUCUGAUCCAGCCAUUCCGCGUGCAGGAUGAAGGCCCUCGGGUUGUAAACUGCUUUUGUACGGAACGAAAAGGUCUCUCUUAAUACGGGGGACUCAUGACGGUACCGUAAGAAUAAGCACCGGCUAACUACGUGCCAGCCGCCGCCGUAA
rnacentral:rRNA from 1 species